GAAAUGCGAUAAGUAGUGUGAAUUGCAGAAUUCAGUGAAUCAUCGAAUCUUUGAACGCACAUUGCGCCCGCCAGCAUUCUGGCGGGCAUGCCUGUUCGAGCGUCAUCUCAACCCCUUAAGCCCCUGCUGCUUAGCGUUGGGAGCCUACGGCGGCCCGCCCGCCGUAGCUCCUCAAAGUCAGUGGCGGGGUCGGCCCAGCACCCCAGGCGCAGUAGAUCUUCCGUCCGCGUCGCCUGCGGGCCGGGCCGGCCUUCCCCGCCUUUAAAAAAAAGAAAGCUAUAAAGGUUGACCUCGGAUCAGGUAGGGAUACCCGCUGAACUUAA
rnacentral:misc_RNA from 1 species